CAGAACUCAGAGCACAUGGAGCCCCAGAGAAGAGCGGAAAAUCCAGCGUGCUUCACAAGCACUGAAACCAGAAAUAACCAAAGUGUCCACGGAUGGGCGGCUGGAUACAAAGCCGGCGUGUAGUCAUAAAGGGAUGCAGCGAACGACGAAUGUGAAUAAACAUUUGCUGUAUGAA